GUAGCAGCGCCUCCUGGAGAGCUGGGAGGCCUGCCCGUCGCAUCGCUAGCCGACGGCUCCCACGCACCGCCCGCUUUGUGUUUCGCUGCAUGUUGGACGACAGCUUCAGGACGCCGCGCCGCCUUGCUAGGCUUACCGCUGCAUCGCUGGUCAGCGGCCCGGCGCGUCGCCCGCCUUGUGUCCCGCUGCACGCUGGACGGGCAGAACUUCGGCUAUCGGGAUGCCCCGCUCCCUGCCCCGCGGCGCCUCGAAUCCUGGAUUAUACCUCUUCAGCCGGCAACGGGGAAGGCAGCAUGCAGCAACCCAUGGGCUGGAUGGCAGCUCGGGAGGCGUCCGUGAGUGGCGCCUCGGCGCUCUCCCUGCCUAGCGAGGCAGUCCGGCGCCCGGCUCCCGCCUUUUCUGGCAUCGCCUAUCGUUUAGUGGAAUGGAGCGUCCAGUGCGUGGAAAGCUCGCGGCCAGCACCAUGAAGAACCUGGACGACGUUCCUGGCAGUGUGCCUUGUGUCCUUGUGUCUGAUGGCUUCCCAAGAAGCUAUUCCGUGUGUGUGCGCUGGAUCGUAGGCACGCACUAACAGCACGUCGGCGGAUGGGACCGCUCUCCAUCGAUUCCUCGCUGCUGCAUGAGGCGUCGGCGCUAGCGCUCGACGAGCAUCCGAUCAUCAUCUUCUUCAAGAUGUACUGGACGCCGAGAAACUGCCAGCAGCUCGGCAACGGAAAACGCCAUGACGGCGCCUCGUGGUGGCCUGCCUCGGCGGCGGGGCCUGGAGAAGCCACGGACAACGCCAGCCGCCGGUGCGCGCGUGCCUGCUUGCGAGCCUCCCAGACACGGACAUCAACGCGAUGCUAGCAGCCUGGCACUGGACGGGGGUGCAGGGCGGCCGUGCAAGGUGACGCGAGGGAACAGUGCCGCUGCCCCUGUCACAAUGGCGACUAGGCGGGCGCAGCUCUGCACAAUGCAUAAUGAAUCGAUAAUCUUAAGUUGAAUCAUGUCUUUAUGACAUGUACUCCCUCCGUGUUUGGCCAACAUGUUUUCCAUUUUUUAAGUGAGAACAGGAGCCACCACCAGAACUGAACCUGAGCAAAGGCAACGCUGCAUCAUGAGUGCCAUGAGCUUUAAAUUUCUUAAAUUCCCACCCAAAAAUGGACUUUACAUUCUUAUAAUGGGAAAAAGUUCUCUUAAAUGGAUGUAUCUAACACUAAUU